rnacentral:ncRNA from 1 species
GGCAAAAAGCCCUCUUUGCGUGUGUGAAUAGUACGCUCUUUGGCCAGACGGACGGUUCGUGAAUC